CAAUAGUGGUCCGGUAACGGAGACCCGCCUCCUCUGGCCUGCUAAAGAGAAGCUAACGUGAUGGCUGGCGGAGCUCGCCUUCCGCUCCUCCUUCCCUCGCCAGCGAUAUCUCAAGGUGGAGAGAGCCGACGUGAGAUAGGAGACCUGUAAGCCUUGGUGAUAUAGAAGAUGCUGAAUUUAUUAAACAAGAAGAAAGCACGGAAAAAAUGACUAUUUGGCAGCAACUCUUGAUAGGUAAGCAUUUAUUGAAGAACAGUACUCAAAUUCUGCAGGAAGAAUCAAGUUUUCCUCCAUUGAUCAAAGUCCAUUGAUCAAAUACAUAUCAGGUGGAAAGAUAACACAGUCAACAAUUGUCUCACAAGGAUUGUAAUAAGUGUUCUAAGCAAACUUUUUCAUGCUGAAUUAAAAAUGAGGUCAAUUUUUUUCUAUCAGGCUUAGUUAUUUGUGACCCUAUUAUUCUGUUCAAUUAGUGAUAUCAUGGUGCUUUAUGUUAAUUAUAGUAGCAUAUCUGUAUCAGAUAUGUUUAGUUUGGAGGAAUUGACCUGCUCCCCACUCCCAUUUUAUGUUAUUUCUGCUUAACAAACACAACAGGGAUCACAUGUAAAAUAAGCACACUAUGAAAUACCCAGAUUUACCAUCUGCAAUGAAGGUAGCCCCAUGUAAAAGUUUUACUGUACCAAAGCUUCUAAAAAUGGGACUAUUAGUGACAAUGACUAAUCAUAAUGAUCGUGCUUAAGUAAAGCAGAAAAGGAAAACCUUAAUUCUGAUCUAACAUUUCAGGUUUUCUGAAAUGAGCCACAUUUGUUGAUGCAAGGGGAUCUGAAUAAUCUUGCUUGUGAUUUUAAGUUGUCUUAGAAACAGGAUGAACUUUUAAUAUCAAAAUGAAAGGGAAUCUUCACUGUCAUGAUACUUAAGGGUUUUUUUCUUUCAUUAUGUUACAUAAUGAAUGUAACAAUUUAUUCUCCCAAUAAGAUGGACUAGUAUUUUGUAAAUAUGUUUAUUUAGUUAUGGAGGCUCUUGGCCAUGAACACAAUGUAAAUCAUUAGCUCCUUGAAAAUUAAGCCGGAAGGCUCUUUUUUAUAAUGGGAAUAAUUUAUUUUCGACGUGUUGGCCCAUGCUGCUAACAGGAAAGAGUUAUAUGAGAACAAGAAAGGAAAGAUCCAAUGUGAAAAAUAAAAAUGGAGUACCGGUAUUUUUGGAGAUCUGAAAGUCCCCUUAUAUACAAAGUAAGGUGUUUUUUCCAUGAGUAGGGCAGUAAGAAGAAAAAAAAAAAACAUCAAGCUCAGAAAAAAUGCCCCAAAUAUACCUCAUUUGUUCACAAACAGUUUGGGAAAUAAUAAAGCAAGAAAUCCACAAAAUACUAAGCAAUAGAAUAUAACGUCAUUGAAAAUUCAUUUCUUGGUCUUUCACAUGGACUUUUCCCUUGACAACCUCAGCAUAGUCAGUGAUGAGCAUGGUGAAUGAUUUUCCCAAGGUAUUUGAAACAUGGGAAAACCAAGAAAAGUUGAGCCCCAGUAUGCUGGCUGAGUAUUGCUGGCCUUUGAUAUAAAGCCCACCAGAUAAUUAAACACUCCUUUUUGUGCUUCAAAUUAAAUUGUUAAUAUAGGCUAUUAUCAAAAGUAAGUUAUGGAUCACUCAGAUUACCAUACUUGAUAGAAAAAUCCUGAAACAUUUGAAUUCAGCAUUAAAAACUAUGAGACUAACCAGUUUUCGUGUGACACAACAUUCUUUUCUCCAUCCUUUCAAGUUACCUUUGCAACGUUGUUUCCAAGUGUGAUUUUUUUUAUUCCAUUUCAAGAUUAUCUCUAUGGGAAAAGCUCAUAGAUACAACCAUAGAUAGAUGCUUUAUCAUAUUCAUCCAGAGAUACAAAUCUGCAUAUAAAAUGCAGUCCAAGAAGUUAAGGAUUAAAUAAGGGAUAUAUUUUUAAUGUUGUGAAUAAAUCUAAUCAAGCGUCUCCAGUAUUUCUUCCGAACUAACUAGUGGCUGCCAAUUCUAUAGCUGUGAUAGCUUUAUUCCAUUUUCAAAUUUAUCAUACAAGAGCCUUGAGAGCUCUUCCACCAUAUUUCUCUAAUAAGUCUCCAGGUCAAUUACCAGAAAACACGAUUAUGCUAACUGUUCUAGAAUAACCAACUGACAAAUUCAGUUGGCCCGUUUUUGGUCCCAGGAGGCUGCAGGGAGACCUACUAGGCCCAAAAGAGGGCGCAGGGGGAGGGGGUCGCAUGCGCACGCAUGGGGAUGGGGCACGCCAAGGCGCAUCACAUGCGCAUUGCAUUAUGGGUGCCAGCACACGCACUGUCGCAUUCACAUGCACUUUCAGCACACGACAACAAAAAGGUUAGCCAUCACUGUCUUAGACGAAUAGUGCAACAAUACUAAGAUUCUUUCACUCAAAAAAAUCCUUCCUUCCCCAUCAAAUUAUUUGCUGCUAAAUGUUUGGUGCAGCCCCUCAUUGGAUUUCAGUUCAGCUCAUAUUCUAGCUAUGCUUUGCUGGAAUCAAUUCAGAUUUUUCCAGGUAUAAAUGCAAAUUUAAACUGAAGUCUAGUUUGUCUAAGAUGGAGAUUUACAUUGGCUGGUAAUUUUCACUUUAUGGUUAAAAAUAAACUUUUGACCCCUUAACAACCCUUGCAGUUUACUCAGUUUGGGAAAAAACCUCAUUGUAUAUGUACCCUUUUGCCAUAUGGUCUUCUAUCAGAAACCUUGUUUUCCGUACUGUAAAACAGUAUAUAUUUUUAAAUGUUAUGGAUCUAAGAUUGCAGAAUUAUUUAAAUGUCAUCUGGAGCUAACUAAUUAUUUCACUAACUUGGAAUUGCAUGGGCAAUAUAGAACCUUCUCUUGGGCAUACUUUAAUACAUGCCAUAUGUCUUAUUGGAGGUCUGGUUCAAUAGGAUUCUCUUUGAGAUAAACAGGCUCAUACCAGUUUAGCAAAUAGGCACCAAAGCAAUAAAUAUAUUCUAUACAACAGCAUGUGAAUUGUUGAUUUUUGACCAUAACAAAGCAUUUUCCAUUGUCAAACCAAGAAGUUUAAUUGGACUGAUUUUUGAGGUUUUAUAAGAUUUGAGGUUUUAAUGCCUUUCAAUUACAUUAUAGAACCCUUACUUACCAAAAUAUUGGUCUAUGUUUUGUCUCAGUAACACCUAUGGAAUUUGGAUUUUUGAUACCUUUCAGUAGUCAAUUUAUGAUGUGACAUAAGCUUUUCAAAUAACACUACAUGGUAGAAUAUUUUUCUACCACUAGGUGGAAUAAAGUUCUCUGAAUGGC